rnacentral:rRNA from 1 species
UAAGGAAUAUUGGACAAUGGAGGCAACUCUGAUCCAGCCAUGCCGCGUGAAGGAAUAAGGCCCUAUGGGUUGUAAACUUCUUUUAGACGGGACAAAACCCCUUUACGUGUAAAGGGUUGAUGGUACUGUCAGAAUAAGCAUCGGCUAACCUCGUGCCAGCAGCCGCGGUAAUACGAAGGAUGCAAGCGUUAUCCGGAAUUAUUGGGUUUAAAGGGUGCGUAGGCGGACUAAUAAGUCAGUGGUGAAAGCCUGCAGCUUAACUGCAGAAUUGCCAUUGAUACUGUUAGUCUUGAGUACAGUUGAGGUAGGCGGAAUGUGUCAUGUAGCGGUGAAAUGCUUAGAUAUGACACAGAACACCGAUUGCGAAGGCAGCUUGCUAAGCUGUAACUGACGCUGAGGCACGAAAGCGUGGGGAGCAAACA